rnacentral:rRNA from 1 species
AAGACCUUGCGCUUUUGGAGCGGCCGAUGUCUGAUUAGCUUGUUGGUAAGGUAAAAGCUUACCAAGGCUUCGAUCAGUAGCUGGUCUGAGAGGACGGCCAGCCACACUGGGACUGAGACACGGCCCAGACUCCUACGGGAGGCAGCAGUGGGGAAUUUUGGACAAUGGGGGCAACCCUGAUCCAGCCAUGCCGCGUGAGUGAAGAAGGCCUUCGGGCUGUAAAGCUCUUUCAGCCGGAACGAAACGGUUACGGUUAAUACCCGUGACUACUGACGGUACCGGAAGAAGAAGCACCGGCUAACUACGUGCCAGCAGCCGCGGUAAUACGUAGGGUGCAAGCGUUAAUCGGAAUUACUGGGCGUAAAGCGUGCGCAGGUGGUUUUGUAAGUCAGAUGUGAAAUCCCCGGGCUUAACCUGGGAACU